CUGGCAAAUAAAAGAAUGAUUUCGCCUAAAUUUUUAAAUAAAUAAUCCAUGGUACUGCACACUGCUUAAUCUGUGGUAACUCACUGUUAGGUACAUUGCUACAUAUUCGUUCGGACUUCAAGAACUCACUGAGAUCUAGCUACCAAAGCACUUGUACACAAAUAAGUGGCUAUAAUAUUUCUUCAUGAAUAUUAUUUAUUAUUUGUAUUACUGUAGCACCAGGAGCCUAAGUCAGGGGCCGGGAUGCCAUUGUGUUGGGUGAAUGUACAAGCACAAAACAAAAAGACUGAUGCUGUUACUGGUACUGUUGCUUCUUACUUAUGUAGUACUUUUCAUCUGUAAAUCUCAUAGUGGUUUACAGAAGAGGGUAAGUACCAUUCUCCUACUUUCAUAGAGUGAGGGAAAUGAAGAGUAGUGAGGUUUUAAGGGCUUGAUUUUUUACCCAUUAAAGUCACUGAUAAAAUGCCCACCCACUGAGUUCAGCUUUGCAAGGUCAGUCACCAAGUGACUUGACCAAGAUCAGUUACUACUGUUUCAGAUGUGUAAAAGCAACACUUCUCUAAAGCACAAAGACUAAUUUUUCUUCUUAACCAGGUACCUCAGGAAUAUGGACCUUGAAAAAGUCAGACAACUGAGCAAAAUCAAGGAGCCCAAAGCACCCCCACCAUAGCCGCCCGAGGACAGCUACACAGGCCGCUGCUGGAGCGGCUUCGCAGCCAGCCACACCCAUCAGCUUUGGUGACACCUGGCCAGGGCAUCAACUUGCCCUUUGUCUUUGAGAAACAGGUUUAACCACUCUCAAGAUGCAGGCUCCCAGCAGGCAACAUACUUCCUGGGACAUCAUCAUGCUGGGUCACUACGUGAAUGCCUCCAUCCCCCUCAGAAGGGAGCCCCUGGCCACCAGCACCUUAUGCCUCCUCCUCUUGGGUGUGGUGGCUGCGAACCUCCCAGCCUUCGAGACAAGUGGAUCUUCCCCCUCAGCCACUGGCAUCUGCUCCCCUCCUCAUGUUGCCAGUACAGCAUACUGGUUCUUGAAUGCAAUGGAUGGGGGACUGAUCUGCGGGUGGGAGGGUGGAGCCCUGUCUACACUCUCAGCUGGCUAACAGCCAUUCCUUUCCCCGCAGAGCAGUCAGUUGUUCUUCCUCCUCUGUUGCUUCUGUAGUUGGCUGGCAUCCUCCAUUCAAGAUGCUUCCAUGUGCAUCCUGUUGAUGAAGUCCUCAUGCUCCUGGAUGCUAUGCAGACAAGACAGCUCCUCCUGCAGCUUUCUUACCUCUUCCUGAGGGACUCCACUGACAGACACCUCUCACAUGGGGUGGUUUCCCCCUGCCUGGCUUUCUCCGGCAGGGACAUGCAGGCUGCAGUCACAGCAAGUCAAGAUCAGGGCCUGGGUGGAAACCUCCAGUAGUUUUGUGAGUUAGCUUCCACCAACAAUGUUUUAUAGCAUUAAAUUGUGAGCAGAGGCCACUCGAGACUGCCCUACACACAACUUCAGAGUGCCACCCGCCUCCUCACAAGCCUAGGACAGCAGAUUUGGUCCAGCCACCCCUGCAUCAUGACAGAGGAGCGGAUGGGCAAAAUCUGCCUACUUUGCCUAUAGGUAGAGCUGCCCC